rnacentral:rRNA from 1 species
AGCGAUUCUUAGCAAUAAGAAGAGCGGCGGAAGGGUGAGUAACACGUAGGAGACCUACCUCAUCGCAGGGAACAACUUCGCGAAAGCGGAGCUAAUACCCAAGAAGCUCGUGCAUUCGGUUGUACGAGAAGAGUUUGUAAGAGCGUGAUGAGAGGGUCCUGCGGCCCAUCAGCUAGUUGGUAGGGUAGUGGCCUACCAAGGCAACGACGGGUAGGGGGUCUGAGAGGACGAUCCCCCACACUGGAACUGAAACACGGUCCAGACGCCUACGGGUGGCAGCAGGGAGGAAUAUUGGGCAAUGGACGAAAGUCUGACCCAGCAACGCCGCGUGAAGGAUGAAGGCCCUCGGGUUGUAAACUUCUUUUGAGGGAGACGAGAAAGGACGGUAUCCCUCGAAUAAGCCACGGCUAACUACGUGCCAGCAGCCGCGGUAAAACGUAGGUGGCGAGCGUUAUCCGGAUUCAUUGGGCGUAAAGAGCUUGUAGGUGGCCAGAUAAGUUGGACGUGAAAACUCCGGGCUUAACUUGGAGAGGCCGUUCAAUACUGUAUGGCUAGAGGAUGUCAGAGGGAAGUAGAAUUCCUGGUGUAGCAGUGAAAUGCGUAGAUAUCAGGAGGAAUACCCGUGGCGAAGGCGGCUUCCUGGGGCACACCUGACACUGAGAAGCGAAAGCUAGGGGAGCAAACGGGAUUAGAAACCCCGG